CCUACGGGGGGCUGCAGUGGGGAAUAUUGGACAAUGGGGGAAACCCUGAUCCAGCAAUGCCGCGUGUGUGAAGAAGGCCUGCGGGUUGUAAACCGCUUUCGGCCGGAACGAAAUCGCCGGGGAGAACAUCCCCGGUGGAUGACGGUACCGGAAGAAGAAGCACCGGCUAACUACGUGCCAGCAGCCGCGGUAAUACGUAGGGUGCGAACGGUAAUCGGAAUUACUGGAGGCAAAUCGUGCGCAGGGGUGUGAAAUCCCCGGGCUUAACCUGGGAACUGCGGUUGUGACUGGCGGGCUGGAGUGCGGAAGAGGGAGGUGGAAUUCCACGUGUAGCAGUGAAAUGCGUAGAGAUGUGGAGGAACACCGAUGGCGAAGGCAGCCUCCUGGUCUAGCACUGACGCUCAUGCACGAAAGCGUGGGGAGCAAACAGGAUUAGAUACCCUAGUAGUC
rnacentral:rRNA from 1 species